rnacentral:rRNA from 1 species
UACAGAGGGUGCAAACGUUGCUCGGAUUUACUGGGCGUAAAGCGCGUGUAGGCGGAUUCACAAGUCGGAUGUGAAAUCCCUGGGCUCAACCCAGGAACUGCAUUCGAAACUGUGAAUCUAGAGUAAUGGAGAGGAAAGUAGAAUUCCCGGUGUAGAGGUGAAAUUCGUAGAUAUCGGGAGGAAUACCAGUGGCGAAGGCGGCUUUCUGGACAUUUACUGACGCUGAGACGCGAAAGCGUGGGGAGCAAACAGG